rnacentral:rRNA from 1 species
UACGUAGGGUGCGAGCGUUGUCCGGAAUUAUUGGGCGUAAAGGGCUCGUAGGCGGUUUGUCGCGUCGGGAGUGAAAACCAGGUGCUUAACACCUGGCCUGCUUUCGAUACGGGCAGACUGGAGGUAUGCAGGGGGAGAACGGAAUUCCUGGUGUAGCGGUGAAAUGCGCAGAUAUCAGGAGGAACACCGAUGGCGAAGGCAGGCUCGU